UUUAUGGAGAGUUUGAUCCUGGCUCAGGAUGAACGCUGGCGGCGUGCCUAAUACAUGCAAGUCGAGCGAACGGACGAGAAGCUUGCUUCUCUGAUGUUAGCGGCGGACGGGUGAGUAACACGUGGAUAACCUACCUAUAAGACUGGGAUAACUUCGGGAAACCGGAGCUAAUACCGGAUAAUAUUUUGAACCGCAUGGUUCAAAAGUGAAAGACGGUCUUGCUGUCACUUAUAGAUGGAUCCGCGCUGCAUUAGCUAGUUGGUAAGGUAACGGCUUACCAAGGCAACGAUGCAUAGCCGACCUGAGAGGGUGAUCGGCCACACUGGAACUGAGACACGGUCCAGACUCCUACGGGAGGCAGCAGUAGGGAAUCUUCCGCAAUGGGCGAAAGCCUGACGGAGCAACGCCGCGUGAGUGAUGAAGGUCUUCGGAUCGUAAAACUCUGUUAUUAGGGAAGAACAUAUGUGUAAGUAACUGUGCACAUCUUGACGGUACCUAAUCAGAAAGCCACGGCUAACUACGUGCCAGCAGCCGCGGUAAUACGUAGGUGGCAAGCGUUAUCCGGAAUUAUUGGGCGUAAAGCGCGCGUAGGCGGUUUUUUAAGUCUGAUGUGAAAGCCCACGGCUCAACCGUGGAGGGUCAUUGGAAACUGGGAGACUUGAGUGCAGAAGAGGAAAGUGGAAUUCCAUGUGUAGCGGUGAAAUGCGUAGAGAUAUGGAGGAACACCAGUGGCGAAGGCGACUUUCUGGUCUGUAACUGACACUGAGGCGCGAAAGCGUGGGGAGCAAACAGGAUUAGAUACCCUGGUAGUCCACGCCGUAAACGAUGAGUGCUAAGUGUUAGAGGGUUUCCGCCCUUUAGUGCUGAAGUUAACGCAUUAAGCACUCCGCCUGGGGAGUACGGCCGCAAGGCUGAAACUCAAAGGAAUUGACGGGGGCCCGCACAAGCGGUGGAGCAUGUGGUUUAAUUCGAAGCAACGCGAAGAACCUUACCAGGUCUUGACAUCCUCUGAAAACCCUAGAGAUAGGGGCUUCUCCUUCGGGAGCAGAGUGACAGGUGGUGCAUGGUUGUCGUCAGCUCGUGUCGUGAGAUGUUGGGUUAAGUCCCGCAACGAGCGCAACCCUUGAUCUUAGUUGCCAUCAUUAAGUUGGGCACUCUAAGGUGACUGCCGGUGACAAACCGGAGGAAGGUGGGGAUGACGUCAAAUCAUCAUGCCCCUUAUGACCUGGGCUACACACGUGCUACAAUGGACGGUACAAAGAGCUGCAAGACCGCGAGGUGGAGCUAAUCUCAUAAAACCGUUCUCAGUUCGGAUUGUAGGCUGCAACUCGCCUACAUGAAGCUGGAAUCGCUAGUAAUCGUAGAUCAGCAUGCUACGGUGAAUACGUUCCCGGGUCUUGUACACACCGCCCGUCACACCACGAGAGUUUGUAACACCCGAAGCCGGUGGAGUAACCUUUUAGGAGCUAGCCGUCGAAGGUGGGACAAAUGAUUGGGGUGAAGUCGUAACAAGGUAGCCGUAUCGGAAGGUGCGGCUGGAUCACCUCCUUU
rnacentral:rRNA from 1 species